UACGGAGGGAGCUAGCGUUGUUCGGAAAUACUGGGCGUAAAGCGCACGUAGGCGGCGCAGCAAGUCAGGGGUGAAAUCCCGGGGCUCAACCCCGGAACUGCCCUUGAAACUGCAGUGCUAGAAUUCUGGAGAGGCGAGUGGAAUUCCGAGUGUAGAGGUGAAAUUCGUAGAUAUUCGGAAGAACACCAGUGGCGAAGGCGACUCGCUGGACAGACAUUGACGCUGAGGUGCGAAAGCGUGGGGAGCAAACCGG
rnacentral:rRNA from 1 species